rfam:Aedes albopictus isolate Foshan contig135545, whole genome shotgun sequence.
CCAACGGCCCUUUUCAGGGCCACCGAAAAUUCCGAUCAAUUUUCAA